rnacentral:rRNA from 2 species
GGGGAAUAUUGCGCAAUGGGGGAAACCCUGACGCAGCAAUACCGCGUGAGUGAAGAAGGUUUUCGGAUCGUAAAGCUCUGUUAUUGGGGAAGAAAAAAAGACGGUACCCAAGAAGAAAGUCCCGGCUAACUACGUGCCAGCAGCCGCGGUAAUACGUAGGGGACAAGCGUUGUCCGGAUUUACUGGGCGUAAAGAGUAUGUAGGCGGACAUUUAAGUCAGAUGUGAAAUCCCCGGGCUUAACCUGGGAGCUGCAUUUGAUACUGGGUGUCUAGAGUGUAGGAGAGGAAAGUGGAAUUCCUAGUGUAGCGGUGAAAUGCGUAGAGAUUAGGAAGAACACCAGUGGCGAAGGCGACUUUCUGGACUAUAACUGACGCUGAGAUACGAAAGCGUGGGGAGCAAACA